rnacentral:rRNA from 1 species
AUGAAUAGUACGACUACCUCCUCUACCAUCAACCCCGUGGACAUCAAGUUCCUCGCCGUGACCCCGAUCAUCUGUGGAGUGCAUACGACUAUGAAACGUGAACCACUACUUCCACUACCAUCGUCGUGUGCUGCUACUUUCACGACGACCGUCCCGAGAACGUCUACUUCCUCUACACCGCUCCGAACUCGAACUGCCCCGAAAAUGCACACUUCAAAGCUUCGGUUUUGUUCUGGAGUUGUGAGGAUUCGUUCGACUACGUCCAUUUGUCUUCUUCUUGGACUCGUUCUUCUUCCCUGCGGGAUCUCAGCUUCGGUUUUGUUCCGGGGUUGUGAGGAUUCGUUCGACUACGUCCGUUUGUCUUCUUCAUGGAAUCGUUCUUCUUCCUAUCGGGAUUUCAGGCAAGAUGACCAUUACCCUCGAUAUCACUUCUAUCUUUGCUUGCUAGUUGCUUCGUUCUAUCGCUAUGCUGCGCUACCUAUCACUUGUUUACCAUGCCUCCCAUAUUGCCAUGUCAGCCUCUAA